rnacentral:rRNA from 1 species
ACAGUCACACGAGUUGAUCCUGGCUCAGAACGAACGCUGGCGGCAGGCCUAACACAUGCAAGUCGAACGAGCGAGAGAGAGCUUGCUUUCUCAAGCGAGUGGCGAACGGGUGAGUAACGCGUGAGGAACCUGCCUCAAAGAGGGGGACAACAGUUGGAAACGACUGCUAAUACCGCAUAAGCCCACGGCUCGGCAUCGAGCAGAGGGAAAAGGAGCAAUCCGCUUUGAGGUGGCCUCGCGUCCGAUUAGCUAGUUGGUGAGGUAACGGCCCACCAAGGCGACGAUCGGUAGCCGGACUGAGAGGUUGAACGGCCACAUUGGGACUGAGACACGGCCCAGACUCCUACGGGAGGCAGCAGUGGGGAAUAUUGCACAAUGGGGGAAACCCUGAUGCAGCGACGCCGCGUGGAGGAAGAAGGUCUUCGGAUUGUAAACUCCUGUUGUUGGGGAAGAUAAUGACGGUACCCAACAAGGAAGUGACGGCUAACUACGUG